UACGGGGGGGGCGAGCGUUGUUCGGAAUCACUGGGCGUAAAGGGCGCGUAGGCGGCCCGCACAAGUCUGCGGUGAAAACCCCCGGCUUAUCCGGGGGCCGGCCGUGGAAACUGUCGGGCUGGAGGCUGGGAGAGGGCAGCGGAAUUCCUGGUGUAGCGGUGGAAUGCGCAGAUAUCAGGAGGAACACCGGUGGCGAAGGCGGGUCUCUGGGCAGUAACUGACGCUGAGGAGCGAAAGCGUGGGGAGCGAACAGG
rnacentral:rRNA from 1 species